AAAAUCGGCAGCGCAGACUUGGGCAGCCGCAGGCAUGUCAGCAAAAAUCGGCAGCCCUGAUGAAAUCGGCCAAGUCGACCGAAUUGGCUGCGGACGGCGAGGCUUGACUGGCAAGGCUUGACGAAGACGAGGGCUGGUCCAGAAACUGGGGCGGUGGCAGCGAUGCCACCGGAUUGAAAAAUCGGCAGCGCAGAUUUGUGCAGCUGCAGGCAUGUCGGG